GGGCUCGUCGUCCAACGGCUAAGAUGCCAGCUUUACACGCUGGAGAUUGGAGUCCGACCCUCCACGGGCCCA
rnacentral:tRNA from 2 species